rnacentral:rRNA from 1 species
UACGGGGGGGUAAGCGUUGUUCGGAAUUACUGGGCGUAAAAGGGCUCGUAGGCGGCCAACUAAGUCGGAUGUGAAAUCCCCAGGCUUAACUUGGGAACUGCAUCCGAUACUGGAUGGCUUGAAUCCGGGAGAGGAUGCGGAAUUCCAGGUGUAGCGGUGAAAUGGCGUAGAUAUCUGGAGGAACACCGGUGGCGAAGGCGGCAUCCUGGACCGG